rnacentral:rRNA from 1 species
ACGGGAGGCAGCAGUGGGGAAUAUUGGGCAAUGGGCGCAAGCCUGACGCAGCGAUGCCGCGUGAGUGAAGAAGGUCUUCGGAUUGUAAACCUCUUUCAGCAGGGAAGAAGCAAGUGACGGUACCUGCAGAAGAAGUCACGGCUAACUACGGGCCAGCAGCCGCGGUAAUACGUAGGUGGCGAGCGUUAUCCGGAAUUAGUGGGUGUAAAGGGUGUGUAGGCGGAGAAGCAAGUCAGGCGUGAAAUUUAUGGGCUCAACUCAUAAACUGCGCUUGAAAAUGUUUCCAUUGAGAGUGGGAGAGGUAAACGGAAUUCCUGGUGUAGUAGUGAAAUGCGUAGAUAUCAGGAGGAACACCGGUGGCGAAGGCGGUUUACUGGACCACAACUGACGCCGAGAGACGAAAGCGUGGGGAGCAAACAGGAUUAGAUACCCUGGUA